rnacentral:rRNA from 1 species
CAGUCGCCGCGGUAAUACGAAGGGGGCUAGCGUUGCUCGGAAUGGCUGGCGUAAAGCGCACGUAGGCGGCUUGGUAAGUUAGAGGUGAAAGCCUGGAGCUCAACUCCAGAAUUGCCUUUAAGACUGCCGAGCUAGCAGGUGAGAGAGGUAAGUGGAAUUCCGAGUGUAGAGGUGAAAUUCGUAGAUAUUCGGAAGAACACCAGUGGCGAAGGCGGCUUACUGGCUCAUACUGGACGCUGAGGUGCGAAAGCUAGGGGAGCAAAUGGGAUUAGAUACCCCCGUAGUCCCUGUCUCUUAUACA